GGAAUUUUGAAAUCACAGGUCUCUCUCUGGAAGCGCCUUUUGAUGUUUCGUGGGCCUAUUUCAGGUGCUGAGAUCAGUGCGUACGCGUGUGGCUCUUGAUUACCAGACAAGUCCGUGGACGGGGAUGGCAGAGUCUGGGAACCUCUUCUUGGAACUGUGUAAACCCACCUGCAGCCAGAAGGAUACUUAUUUCAAGUCUUGCUUCAGUGACUCCUAAAAGCACUUUUGAGAGGAGAGGGAUAUGAACUGAGAAAGGAGGAGUAG
rnacentral:lncRNA from 1 species